UGCCUGGUAGUGUAACGGUAGCACGAGUGACUCUGACUCACUUAGUCAUGGUUCGAAUCCAUGCCGGGCAA
rnacentral:tRNA from 1 species